rnacentral:rRNA from 1 species
AGACAGCAGCAGCCGCGAUAAUACAGAGGAUGCAAGCGUUAUCCGGAAUGAUUGGGCGUAAAGCGUCUGUAGGUGGCUUUUCAAGUCCGCCGUCAAAUCCCAGGGCUCAACCCUGGACAGGCGGUGGAAACUACCAAGCUAGAGUACGGUAGGGGCAGAGGGAAUUUCCGGUGGAGCGGUGAAAUGCGUUGAGAUCGAAAAGAACACCAACGACGAAAGCACUCUGCUGGGUCGACACUGACACUGAGAGACGAAAGCUAGGUGGGCAAAUGGGAUUAGAUACCCCAGUAGUCCCUGUCUCUUAUAC